rnacentral:lncRNA from 1 species
GUUUGACCUUCACAGCUCAUUAUGAUCAUUGAUCCUUAUAUGAUGAACCUGAUAAAUGAGCAACAGGAGAAGAAACUGAGGUUCAAGGACUAGUAACCAGCAGCAGAUCACACAGCUGGAAGACAACUAAGAGCAAAAAAACAGUCAGAAUAAAAGGCCAUGGAACCACAAACCUGUAGGUGAAUGCACAUCCAUUAGCAUUCCUGUAAGUACGUGUAUUUGGUGGCUUUGCUGGAGUAACAAACUACCUCAAGAUCUCAGUGUUAUAUGAAACAAAGGUUAUGCUGGAACUCAACCUCACCUGUAUACGGGUGAACCAUAAGAUGGUCCUUGCUACAUCACUAGCCUUCCCUUAUCUAGCAAGAAAAACCUGCUCUUGAUAGUCUGCUGAAUAGUGACUGAGAUGACUGGCAGUAAAAUAGGAGACUUUUCAAGUGGAUGAAAGUUAAAUUCAAUAGGUGAUGCUGUGAACCCUCCCCAAGGGAGGUACCAAAAGCCUGCAUGAAGCAAAAACUGGAAACAAAUAAAGGAGAGUAUGGUGACUUUGCACUAAGUUACUCAUUUAUUCACAUAAUUAAUGAGUUUCUAUUAGUGUUAGGCACCGUUCUAGAUGAUGGUAUAAUUAGUUAACAAAAACCUCAAAACUCUCGCCCCCCAUGGAGCUUACAUUUCCAGGGAGGGAGAGAGAUGAUACAACAAUAAGAAAAUACAGAGCUAAUGUCAUUCUAUAUUGUAUAAUUAUGUAAAAUCAAGCCUGAGUAUUUGACAGCUUCUCAGAUACCACAGAUCUGUUGUUUAAUGAAAUCAGCCUAAAAGAUAAAAUUGUGUAUUUGCAUGUACACAUCACCUUGCCUGUAUUAUGAGUCAGCGUUUCUUCUUAUAAGAAACCACAGCUUGGUAAAAGGUAGAAGCUCAAUUUCCUAAUAAAGAGAUAUGUUUUACUAGGCAGGCUGUUGCACUGCAUAUUACUCUCUCUGACCUUGGCUUUAGUCCAAGGAGGAUUAAACCCAGAAAGAGAAGGGAGUAAAGCAAGGUGUAGCAGAAAAGCAAAACAAAACAAUACAAAAUAACCUCAAAGAAAUUAGUAACAAUAAUUAGUGCAUUCAGAGAUUAUAUCUUUCUUUCUUUUUUUCCUUUUUUUUUUUCUUUCGAGACGGAGUUUUGCUCUUGUUGCCCAGGCUGGAGUGCAACGGCGCGAUCUCAGCUCACGGCAACCUCCGCCUCCCCGGUUCAAGUGACUCUCCUGCCUCAGCCUCCCGAGUAGCUGGGAUUACAGGUGUGUGCCACCACGCCAGGCUAAUUUUGUAUUUUUAGUAGAGACAGGGUUUCUCCAUGUUGGUUAGGCUAGGCUCAAACUCCUGACCUCAGUUGAUCCGCCCGCCUCAGCCUCCCAAAGUGCUGGGAUUACAGACGUUAGCCACCGUGCCCAGCUGAGAUUACAUCUUUUUGAAAGCUAAAUAUAUAUAUAUAUAACACUGAGUGAAGGAGUUAUGUUUUCAGGUAAGGGCUACUGUUCUUGACAAUCCAUCAUCCAUCCAUCCAUCCAUCCAUCUGUGUAUUCUGGAAGGAGUGAGGAACUCAUGCAAAGACAUAAACAAGUUUACUCUCCAUAGCAAAGAGUUGCCCUGAUACAUGAUUGCUUGCAAACUUAUAUUCAAGUCCUGUGGUGUUUAUUCUGUAGGCUUUGCCAAUAUAGCUGAAUCUUAGGAAAAGACAAACCAAAACAAAAUUGUAACAUAAGCCAUAUUUGUCUUCAGUCCAGCCUUUUUUUCUGUUACUGCACAUUUCCAUACCUUUGCAUUUUCUUUGUAACCCAUAGGCUUGAGUGUUCAGUUUCUUAAAGUGGCUAGAUGUCCCUGUCCACAAUAGACAAAGUCACACCAAAAUCCUAAAAAGAGAAAAUUUGCUUCCCAUCAAAGGCCUGACAUACUUUUGCCAUGAAUGAUAUAGAAAGAUUCUAUAAUAGAUUAAAGGAAGCUCUGGGAAAUUUGUUUUAAAUACAAUCAGUCUUACAUAGACAUAUAUCUUUAAAGUCGACUGCUUGACAUUUUUUCCUUAAGAUGAAAAUUAAAUAAUGGCCCCUGUAAAAAAUCAUCAAAGGUCUCCCUUCACUGAAAAAAUAAGCAAAAUAAUGAGACUGAAGCUCAACUUCUGUUUUGCCCACCUUGAAUCCCUUUGACACACUUCCAAGUCUACCUUACAGCAGUAGGAGCGAUUCCAUAAACUGGAGAUUUAUAACAUGACAAGUCAACCCAGAU